CGAUUUUAGAUUAUCUUUUUAACUUACAAAAACAAUCAUUUAAAAAUUAUUUUGCUUUUAUUUUAUUUAUUUUUAUUAUUUUUUGAGGACAUGCGGCUCUGCAGGACCUGCGCUCUCCUGGCGCUCCUGUUUCUGGCAGUCUUGGAUUCAUCAGAAUCCCAGCAGGAGGUCGUUCGACCAGACAAAGGCUUGAAUGUGAUCGUGUCCACCGAGCAGCCAAAAUGUUCUGUGUGUAUCGUCAGCAAGGUGAACAGCACACAGUCUUCCUGCAACUCUUCUCUCUCUCUGGUACCUGAAGCUGAGACCACACUGGAGUUUUCCUGCUCCCAGCCUGUCGAGCAGUCUUACACUGUGACGAUUGCUCGCUCCAUCGAAUGCACUGAGAAUGCCUGCAGCUCGCCAACUCUGCAAACUCAACCAUCCAUCCUGACUAACUUUGCCAGAAUCUUCACCUGGGAUCUGAAUGCAGCUCAGGACACAGUCGUGCGCCUGAGCAUCAUCGAAGGAGGACUGACGGACACAUUACAGCCAUGCUCAGAUGGCUAUCAGUUCUCUGUGUCCACAUCCAUAGCCAGCAGCAAGGCC
ensembl:lncRNA